rnacentral:rRNA from 1 species
UACAGAGGGUGCGAGCGUUGUUCGGAAUUAUUGGGCGUAAAGGGCGCGUAGGCGGUGCGGUAAGUCACCUGUGAAAUCUCCUGGCUCAACUGGGAGCUUGCAGGCGAAACUGCCGUGCUGGAGUGUGGGAGAGGUGCGUGGAAUUCCGGGUGUAGCGGUGGAAUGCGUAGAGAUCCGGAAGAACACCGGUGGCGAAGGCGGCCCGCUGGGCAGUGGC